GUGGGGAAUCUUCCGCAAUGGACGAAAGUCUGACGGAGCGACGCCGCGUGAGUGAAGAAGGCCUUCGGGUCGUAAAGCUCUGUCAUCAGGGACGAACGGCCGGUGGAGUGGAAAGCCACCGGAUUGACGGUACCUGAGAAGGAAGCCACGGCUAACUACGUGCCAGCAGCCGCGGUAAUACGUAGGUGGCAAGUGUUGUCCGGUAUUAUUGGGCGGAAAGCGCGCGCAGGUGGGAUCUUAAGUCCAUUUUUAACGUUCGGAGCUCAACUCCGUGAUGGGAUGGAAACUGGGAUUCUUGAGUACCGGAGAGGAAAGCGGAAUUCCAAGUGUAGCGGUGAAAUGCGUAGAGAUUUGGAAGAACACCAGUGGCGAAGGCGACUUUCUGGACGAUGUCUGACGCUGAGGCGCGAAAGCUAGGGGAGCGAACGGGAUUAGAAACCCGGGUAGUCC
rnacentral:rRNA from 1 species